CACAUGCAAGUCGAGGGGCAGCAUUUUAGUUUGCUUGCAAACUAAAGAUGGCGACCGGCGCACGGGUGAGUAACACGUAUCCAACCUGCCGAUAACUCGGGGAUAGCCUUUCGAAAGAAAGAUUAAUAUCCGAUAGUAUAUUAAAACCGCAUGGUUUUACUAUUAAAGAAUUUCGGUUAUCGAUGGGGAUGCGUUCCAUUAGUUUGUUGGCGGGGUAACGGCCCACCAAGACUACGAUGGAUAGGGGUUCUGAGAGGAAGGUCCCCCACAUUGGAACUGAGACACGGUCCAAACUCCUACGGGAGGCAGCAGUGAGGAAUAUUGGUCAAUGGACGAGAGUCUGAACCAGCCAAGUAGCGUGAAGGAUGACUGCCCUAUGGGUUGUAAACUUCUUUUAUAUGGGAAUAAAGUUUUCCACGUGUGGAAUUUUGUAUGUACCAUAUGAAUAAGGAUCGGCUAACUCCGUGCCAGCAGCCGCGGUAAUACGGAGGAUCCGAGCGUUAUCCGGAUUUAUUGGGUUUAAAGGGAGCGUAGGUGGAUUGUUAAGUCAGUUGUGAAAGUUUGCGGCUCAACCGUAAAAUUGCAGUUGAAACUGGCAGUCUUGAGUACAGUAGAGGUGGGCGGAAUUCGUGGUGUAGCGGUGAAAUGCUUAGAUAUCACGAAGAACUCCGAUUGCGAAGGCAGCUCACUAGACUGCAACUGACACUGAUGCUCGAAAGUGUGGGUAUCAAACAGGAUUAGAUACCCUGGUAGUCCACACAGUAAACGAUGAAUACUCGCUGUUU
rnacentral:rRNA from 1 species